CGAAAACGAAUUCUCUCUUGAGUGGAUCCUGAGUACGACGGAGCACGUGAAAUUCCGUCGGAAUCUGGGAGGACCAUCUCCUAAGGCUAAAUACUCUCUAGUGACCGAUAGUGAACCAGUACCGUGAGGGAAAGGUGAAAAGUACCCCGGAAGGGGAGUGAAAGAGAACUUGAAACCGUGUGCUUACAAGUAGUCAGAGCCCGUUAAUGGGUGAUGGCGUGCCUUUUGUAGAAUGAACCGGCGAGUUACGAUCUGAUGCAAGGUUAAGCAGAAAAUGUGGAGCCGUAGCGAAAGCGAGUCUGAAUAGGGCGAAUGAGUAUUUGGUCGUAGACCCGAAACCAGGUGAUCUACCCUUGGUCAGGUUGAAGUUCAGGUAACACUGAAUGGAGGACCGAACCGACUUACGUUGAAAAGUGAGCGGAUGAACUGAGGGUAGCGGAGAAAUUCCAAUCGAACUUGGAGAUAGCUGGUUCUCUCCGAAAUAGCUUUAGGGCUAGCCUCAAGUGAUGAUUAUUGGAGGUAGAGCACUGUUUGGACGAGGGGCCCCUCUCGGGUUACCGAAUUCAGACAAACUCCGAAUGCCAAAUAAUUUAACUUGGGAGUCAGAAUGUGGGUGAUAAGGUCCAUAUUCGAAAGGGAAACAGCCCAGACCACCAGCUAAGGUCCCAAAAUAUAUGUUAAGUGGAAAAGGAUGUGGCGUUGCCCAGACAACUAGGAUGUUGGCUUAGAAGCAGCCAUCAUUUAAAGAGUGCGUAAUAGCUCACUAGUCGAGUGACACUGCGCCGAAAAUGUACCGGGGCUAAACAUAUUACCGAAGCUGUGGAUUGUCCUUUGGACAAUGGUAGGAGAGCGUUCUAAGGGCGUUGAAGCAUGAUCGCAAGGACAUGUGGAGCGCUUAGAAGUGAGAAUGCCGGUGUGAGUAGCGAAAGACGGGUGAGAAUCCCGUCCACCGAUUGACUAAGGUUUCCAGAGGAAGGCUCGUCCGCUCUGGGUUAGUCGGGUCCUAAGCUGAGGCCGACAGGCGUAGGCGAUGGAUAACAGGUUGAUAUUCCUGUACCACCAUUAUUCGUUUUAAGCGAUGGGGGGACGCAGUAGGAUAGGCGAAGCGUGCUGUUGGAGUGCACGUCCAAGCAGUGAGAUUGAGUGUUAGGCAAAUCCGGCACUCU
rnacentral:rRNA from 1 species